rnacentral:rRNA from 1 species
CUAACACGGACCAAGGAGUCUAACAUGUGCGCGAGUCAUGGGGUGUUACGAAACCCAAAGGCGCAGUGAAAGUAAAGACCUGUAUUGGCAGGUUGAGGUGAGAUCUCGGUUCCGCGUUGUCGGGCUGAGCGCAUCACCGGCCCGUCCCAUGAUGUUCUGCAUCGGGGCGGAGCAAGAGCGUACACGUUGGGACCCGAAAGAUGGUGAACUAUGCUUGCGCAGGUCGAAGCCAGAGGAAACUCUGGUGGAGGACCGUAGCGAUUCUGACGUGCAAAUCGAUCGUCAAACGUGAGUAUAGGGGCGAAAGACUAAUCGAACCAUCUAGUAGCUGGUUCCCUCCGAAGUUUCCCUCAGGAUAGCUAGCACUCGGGGAACAAACAGUUUUAUCCGGUAAAGCGAAUGAUUAGAGGUCUUGGGGUCGAAAUGACCUCAACCUAUUCUCAAACUUUAAAUGGGUGAGAAGCCUGACUCGCUUAAUUGGAGCCAGGCAUCGAAUGUGAGUGCUCAGUGGGCCAUUUUUGGUAAGCAGAACUGGCGCUGUGGGAUGAACCACACGUUCGGUUAAGGUGCCUAACACGGACGCUCAUCAGAUACCACACAAGGUGUUGGUUGAUAUAGACAGCAGGACGGUGUCCAUGGAAGUCGGAAUCCGCUAAGGAGUGUGUAACAACUCACCUGCCGAAUCAACCAGCCCUGAAAAUGGAUGGCGCUGGAGCGUUGGACCUAUACCGAACUGUCACCGCAAGCCGCGCGAGGAAGCGGUGACAAGUAGGAGGGUCGCCGUGGUGAGCUUUGAAGCUGCGGGCGUGAGGCCGGGUGGAGCCGCCACGGGUGCAGAUCUUGGUGGUAGUAGUACAU